rfam:Nicotiana sylvestris Nsyl_contig31498, whole genome shotgun sequence.
GCUCUUGUAGCUCAGUGGAUAGAGCAUCGCUUUCCAAUCUGAAGGUCGUAGGUUCGAUCCUCCCUGGCGCG